UACGUAGGGGGCAAGCGUUGUCCGGAUUUAUUGGGCGUAAAGAGCGUGUAGGCGGCCAGACAGGUCCGUUGUGAAAACUGGAGGCUCAACCUCCAGACGUCGAUGGAAACCGUCUGGCUAGAGUCCGGAAGAGGAGAGUGGAAUUCCUGGUGUAGCGGUGAAAUGCGCAGAUAUCAGGAAGAACACCCGUGGCGAAAGCGGCUCUCUGGGACGGUACUGACGCUGAGGGACGAAAGCUAGGGGAGCGAAUGGG
rnacentral:rRNA from 1 species